GCGGCGGACGGCUGAGUAACGCGUGGGAACAUGCCCCAAAGUGAGGAAUAACUGCCCGAAAGGGUAGCUAAUGCCGCAUAUGAUCUUCGGAUUAAAGGAUUUAUCCGCUUUGGGAGUGGCCCGCGUACGAUUAGGUAGUUGGUGAGGUAAAGGCUCACCAAGCCCACGAUCGUUAACUGGUCUGAGAGGAUGAUCAGUCAGACUGGAACUGAGACACGGUCCAGACUCCUACGGGAGGCAGCAGUGAGGAAUCUUCCACAAUGGGCGAAAGCCUGAUGGAGCGACGCCGCGUGCAGGAUGAAGGCCUUCGGGUUGUAAACUGCUUUUAUAAGUGAAGAAUAUGACGGUAACUUAUGAAUAAGCACCGGCUAACUACGUGCCAGCAGCCGCGGUCAUACGUAGGGUGCAAGCAUUAUCCGGAGUGACUGGGCGUAAAGAGUUGCGUAGGUGGACAAGUAAGCGAAUAGUGAAAUGUGGCGGCUCAACCGUACACACCAUUAUUCGAACUGCUUGUCUCGAGAAUGGUAGAGGUAACUGGAAUUUCUAGUGUAGGAGUGAAAUCCGUAGAUAUUAGAAGGAACACCAAUGGCGUAGGCAGGUUACUGGACCAUUUCUGACACUAAGGCACGAAAGCGUGGGGAGCGAACCGGAUUAGAUACCCGGGUAGUCCACGCCGUAAACUAUGGAUACUAGCUGUUGGAGGUAUCGACCCCUUCAGUAGCGAAGCUAACGCGUUAAGUAUCCCGCCUGUGGAGUACGGUCGCAAGACUAAAACAUAAAGGAA
rnacentral:rRNA from 1 species